UACGUAGGUGGCAAGCGUUGUCCGGAUUUACUGGGCGUAAAGAGCGCGCAGGCGGUCGGAUAAGUCGAAUGUGAAAGCCCCUGGCUCAACCAGGGAGGGUCAUUCGAUAACUGUUCGACUCGAAGGCAGGAGAGGGAAGUGGAAUUCCGGGUGUAGUGGUGAAAUGCGUGAGAUAUCCGGAGGAACACCAGUGGCGAAGGCGAACUUUCUGGCCUGUUCUUGACGCUGAGGCGGCGAAAGCUAGGGGAGCAAACGGGG
rnacentral:rRNA from 1 species